GGGUGAUUAGCUCAGCUGGGAGAGCACCUCCCUUACAAGGAGGGGGUCGGCGGUUCGAUCCCGUCAUCACCCACGA
rnacentral:tRNA from 1 species